rnacentral:rRNA from 1 species
AGAGCGAACGCUGGCGGCAGGCCUAACACAUGCAAGUCGAGCGCCCCGCAAGGGGAGCGGCAGACGGGAGAGUAACACGUGGGAACGUACCCUUCAGUUCGGAACAACCCAGGGAAACUUGGGCUAAUACCGAAUACGUCCGUAAGGAGAAAGAUUUAUCGCUGAAGGAUCGGCCCGCGUCUGAUUAGCUUGUUGGUGAGGUAACGGCUCACCAAGGCGACGAUCAGUAGCUGGUCUGAGAGGAUGAUCAGCCUCACUGGGACUGAGACACGGCCCAGACUCCUACGGGAGGCAGCAGUGGGGAAUAUUGGACAAUGGGCGCAAGCCUGAUCCAGCCAUGCCGCGUGGGUGAUGAAGGCCCUAGGGUUGUAAAGCCCGUUUCGGCGGGGAAGAUAAGUGACGGUACCCGCAGAAGAAGCCCGGCUAACUUCGCGCCAGCAGCCGC